UACUUAUAGCCUUAGCCUUGGGUCACUUAGACUUGACUUAGGAUACACUUACAGAAUCUGUAACAGAUCUAGACUGUCUAUAGAUCUUUAUUCUAGAUCUAUAAACAACAGAUCUAGACCCAAGGGCCUAGGCCUAGUACUAGUACCCUAGAUUCUAGUUCUAGUCCAGUAAUCAUAAAAGAACAACACACAAUCCUCUAUCCUGCCAGCAGC